rnacentral:lncRNA from 1 species
AGUCUUCACAUCCAAAUAAGGAGAGACAGGUCAGGUUAAAGCUGGACAGGGCUUCUGUGCAUUUUAUACAAAGGAAAUGGGGAGGCUCUGCAGGAAUUAGUCCAUAUGCACCUUUUCAAAGAGGCCUGGCACUACCCCCUCCCCUUCUUCAGUAUUCUGUACAUUCCUCAAAUACAGAAUGAACAGAGUGGAGCAAGUUUUACUUACCUCUCCAUCUUAAAUAACCACUAACAUUCUCUCAAGGAUCUAGGAUAUAAACCUGGUGCACUAAUUCUCAUCACAACAAAUUUCUUCUUUACUUUUUCUUAAUGCCUUCAGGAAUAAGAGAAACCCCAUAAAUCAGAAAAAGCCUCAUCUUUUAAGAACUACUGCUCCUUUAGAGGUGGAAUUGUUUGAGUAAUUGUAUAAUGGUGCUUGGCACUUAGUAGGAACUUAACAGAUAUUUGUUGAUUUAAUGAAUAAGUGAGAAAUAUUUGUUAGGCUGCAGUUUUAAAUGAGUACAGCUGUAGAAGGUCCAAGCUCACCAAGUCCAAGACGAGAGAAUGUGGUUGGUUUGCCAUUCACAUGGCUGGUCUUGGUUUGGGAUUUUUGUUACCUGAGGGACAGUCUCUGCUGAAAAAAAAAAACCCUAGCAGAACCAGGCUGCUACUGUGACUGAGAUCAUUCUUCUGUGUCUACAUAUUUUAUAUGCCAAAGGAGAGUACUUCCUUUGCCUGUCUAAGCUCCAAAACUAACCAUUCCUGUCUCUAAGCUUGUCAAUGCUUUCAACAGCAUAGCUUGGAAUGGUGCCAAAGAGAUCUACAACUAGUUUGUAUUCAUUUGGAAUUUUCAGUACCCAUUUUCCAAGAUAGACAAGAGAUUCACAAAUUUUCCGUCUCUGAAAAUGCUCCUGUUUCUGCCUUGAAGGGCUGUAUCAUAUCUAGCCUGUAAGAAACAAGAGAGGUCUGUGAAGAACAGCUUGGGGAAAAAAAAGGUGAGAAUUGCCUUCCAAUGCAGAAUUGUAUGAAGCAAUCUUCACUUUUGAAUCACAGUGUGCUUCAUGCCAAAAUUCAAUAGCCACAUCGAACAUCAAUGAGCUGAGUGUGGAAUACACCUUUUCCCAAGUGAUCUAAUGCUUUUCCUAAGUUGACUUUUGAAGUGACACAGACUUCUGUUGCUUCAUUUUUAACUUCUUUUCUUUCUUAUUUUAUAUCUAACUUCUAGCUUUGUCCCUCAAAACUGAUGUUAGUGCUUCAUAAGCCAGAAACAAUGGGAAAGAGGCACCUCACCGAUACCAAGAUGUAUGAUGUUGCUGUUCAGUUGAAAGGUUCGCAGGAGGUGGAAGUGUAAGUGGACUCAGUGCAUGGUGUGUAACAUGUUGUGAGAAUUUACUCCUCUGCAGCUUUGGUAUUAAAGUCUGAAGUAUUGUGAAUCUGUGCAUCACUUGUAAAAUCAACAACCAUAAAGGCCAUUUAAAUAUCCAUAAUAUCUUUUGUCAGUAGGCAAGCCAAUUGCUUAUGCAAGAAGUAGAUCAAUUUAACCUUUUAUUUGGCAUACAUUUUCUCAGUUUUUUUUUUUUUUUUUGGCACAGACCACAAUGUUUUUAUAAUCAACUCUUAGCCAAAGCAGAAAUUCAUACAAUCAUAUUUUGCUUUCCUGUUCAGGAUUCUUUUCCUGACACAUUUGUCAUCUGUGACCAAGAUUUGCUUUAACACCCUAGGUUGAACAUUGUUCAGUGACAGAUGUUCGGUUACCCUUUUAAUAAGGAGGUGUUAUGUGAUUUCUCGGCCAGCUAGAAAAGCAGUGGUCAAAGCAGGAAAUCCGAUUCUUGACCUUGUUUUUUUCUUUUACUCUUGUCAGACAUACUGGUACUUCUUGGAGGUAGAUUUCACUUCUAUGCCCUAUGUGUCAGCAUAAUAGGCUUUCUCACUUAUGUUUUGAGACAAACAAAUUAUCAGGCUAAUGUUUAAAAUCCAACAACUACCAGAAAUGGUUAUAAUUCUAAUAAUUCCAAUAUUACAGAGGUAAGCAAUAAUAGGUUUACACUCACUGUCAUUCACUCUCCCUCUCUCUCUCAAACUUAUUGAACAUUCUUUCCAUGUUAAAUAUUAGUCAAUAAACCCUAUAUUAAUUAACACAUUUAGUUCUCAUAAGACUGCUUGGAUGUAGAUUCAAAAGUUUUAAAAAUGAAAGCAUUUAAAAGUUAAGAAACUUGUAAAGGGUUAUACCAUAGUUAAUAAUGAUACCACCCAGGCAGCCUGACUUUAGAAUCCAUACACUUAACCAGACACCAUAGAGGCUCUUGUAGAUGCAAAAUUCUUUAUCAGAUAUGUGAUUUGCAAAUAUUGUCUCCCAGGCUAUAGCUUGUGUUUUCAUUCUCCUUUCAUAAUGUUUCAAAGAGCAGUUUUUAAUUGUAAUG